rnacentral:rRNA from 1 species
GACGAACGCUGGCGGCGUGCUUAACACAUGCAAGUCGAACGGAAAGGCCCUGCUUUUGUGGGGUGCUCGAGUGGCGAACGGGUGAGUAACACGUGAGUAACCUGCCCUUGACUUUGGGAUAACUUCAGGAAACUGGGGCUAAUACCGGAUAGGAGCUCCUGCUGCAUGGUGGGGGUUGGAAAGUUUCGGCGGUUGGGGAUGGACUCGCGGCUUAUCAGCUUGUUGGUGGGGUAGUGGCUUACCAAGGCUUUGACGGGUAGCCGGCCUGAGAGGAUGACCGGCCACAUUGGGACUGAGAUACGGCCCAGACUCCUACGGGAGGCAGCAGUGGGGAAUAUUGCACAAUGGGCGGAAGCCUGAUGCAGCAACGCCGCGUGCGGGAUGACGGCCUUCGGGUUGUAAACCGCUUUCGCCUGUGACGAAGCGUGAGUGAUGGUAAUGGGUAAAGAAGCACCGGCUAACUACGUG